CAGCUGAGAGAAGAGGCAAAGUGAUGGAAGGAGGUCCAUGGAUGGGUGUUGGAGUUAACUGAAUAUGCAGGAGAGGAAGGCCUUCGUAACAAGUUAUGGCUGUGCUGUUGCUGACAGGAGAGUCGUGUUUCUGAUGCUGCAAGAAAUAACAG